rnacentral:snRNA from 1 species
AUUAUUCUCGAUGGUACAUCUGUCAAUUUUAACAAUGCAAAGAAGAUUAGCAUUGUCCUUGCAUAAAGAUGACACGCUAUACAAAGAGAUUUACCAUUUUCGG